UACAAUGGAAGAAUAAACAAUUCCCUGAGUAAGUGUGUGCUGCAAGUCCAUUGCUUCACUUAAUUUCCCGGAGAAGAGAGGAAAGGGAAGCGUUCUGUGGCACAGCAAAUGAAGUUUGUCUGGAAGUCCCUGUCUCUGCAGAGUGAUUUUCAGGGCAUAAAAGGAGAUCUUGUGUAAGGAAGAUAACAGUCCAGGAGUGACUUUCAGAUCACGGAGAUAAAACAGAAAACAUGGAUAAGGCACUGCAACAUUUGAGAAGAAAAAAUUAAUCAUCAGGCCAUUAUGUUCAUCCUCCGUCAAGAAGAGAGAAAAUUUUUCUUUGAAACUCAAGGAAAAUUUUCUGCAAGCCUUGGCUGCCCUUUCUCACAACAACAAACUGCAGUGCCGCAAUCUAAAACCAACACAGAUUUAUGGUUGAAACAGCCUCCAGAUUUUAGAUACCAGCUCUGUGCUGUACUGGCACGAUAGGAAGCCCAGUCCUCGAGUGACUUCGUUUGACAGACAAUGAGGGGAGAGAAAUUUCUACGUUUGACAGACAAUGAUGGGAGAAAAACUUGCACGAUCUGCCCUCAAGGGCCUCCCCCUUGCCGAUGGGGUAGACCACCCCGGCUUCCCAGGAGAAAACGCCAGGUUAUGCCAGAGGUCCUUGCAAUCUGAAGUUAAAACCACAACGUUUGACAAAGCAUAG